rnacentral:rRNA from 1 species
AUUGAACGCUGGCGGCAGGCCUAACACAUGCAAGUCGAGCGAGCGGCGGACGGGUGAGUAAUGUAUGGGGACUGCCCGAAAUAGGGGGAGAACUCCUGGAAAAGGUAGCUAAUACCGCAUACUAUCGCAUAACACAUAUGGGAUUAGCUAGUAGGUGAGGUAAUGGCUCACCUAGGCGACGAUCCCUAGCUGGUCUGAGAGGAUGAUCAGCCACACUGGGACUGAGACACGGCCCAGACUCCUACGGAGGCAGCAGUGGGGAAUAUUGCACAAUGGGCGCAAGCCGGAUGCAGCCAUGCCGCGUGUAUGAAGAAGGCCCUAGGGUUGUAAAGUACUUUCAGUCGGGAGGCGUUACCGACAGAAGAAGCACCGGCUAACUCCGUGCCAGCCGCCGCGGUAAUAC